CCUACGGGAGGCAGCAGUGGGGAAUAUUGGACAAUGGGCGAAAGCCUGAUCCAGCAAUGCCGCGUGAGUGAUGAAGGCCUUAGGGUCGUAAAGCUCUUUUACCCGGGAUGAUAAUGACAGUACCGGGAGAAUAAGCCCCGGCUAACUCCGUGCCAGCAGCCGCGGUAAUACGGAGGGGGCUAGCGUUGUUCGGAAUUACUGGGCGUAAAGCGUACGUAGGCGGUUAUUCAAGUCAGAGGUGAAAGCCCGGGGCUCAACCCCGGAACGGCCUUUGAAACUAGAUAGCUAGAGUCUUGGAGAGGUCAGUGGAAUUCCGAGUGUAGAGGUGAAAUUCGUAGAUAUUCGGAAGAACACCAGUGGCGAAGGCGACUGACUGGACAAGUACUGACGCUGAGGUACGAAAGCGUGGGGAGCAAACAGGAUUAGAUACCCUGGUAGUCCACGCCGUAAACGAUGAUAACUAGCUGUCCGGGUACUUGGUAUCUGGGUGGCGCAGCUACGACAUUAAGUUAUCCGUCCGUCGGGUAGGUACGGUCGCGAGAAUUAAACGUUAAAGUAAGUUAGUACGGCGUGAGACGUGUCCGAACGGACGACGACGAGGGGAGGUUAGG
rnacentral:rRNA from 1 species